rnacentral:rRNA from 1 species
CCCAGACUCCUACGGGAGGCAGCAGUGGGGGAUAUUGCACAAUGGGGGGAACCCUGAUGCAGCGACGCCGCGUGGGUGAAGAAGUAUUUCGGUAUGUAAAGCCCUAUCGGCAGGGAAGAAAUUGGACGGUACCUGACUAAGAAGCCCCGGCUAACUACGUGCCAGCAGCCGCGGUAAUACGUAGGGGGCAAGCGUUAUCCGGAUUCACUGGGUGUAAAGGGAGCGUAGACGGCCAUGCAAGCCUGGAGUGAAAGCCCGGGGCCCAACCCCGGGACUGCUCUGGGAACUGUGCGGCUGGAGUGCGGGAGGGGCAGGCGGAAUUCCUGGUGUAGCGGUGAAAUGCGUAGAUAUAAGGAAGAACACCAGUGGCGAAGGCGGAUUACUGGACGAUAACUGACGGUGAGGCGCGAAAGCGUGGGGAGCAAACAGGAUUAGAUACCCUUGUAAGA